AUACGGAGGGUGCAAACGUUGUUCGGAAUUACUGGGCGUAAAGCGCGCGUAGGCGGUUUGUUAAGUCAGAUGUGAAAGUCCACAGCUCAACUGUGGAAGUGCAUUUGAAACUGUCAGACUUGAGUACUGGAGGGGGUGGUGGAAUUCCCGGUGUAGAGGUGAAAUUCGUAGAUAUCGGGAGGAAUACCGGUGGCGAAGGCGACCACCUGGCCAGAUACUGACGCUGAGGUGCGAAAGCGUGGGGAGCAAACAGGAUUAGAAACCCUUGUAGUCC
rnacentral:rRNA from 1 species